rnacentral:rRNA from 1 species
CCUACGUGGUGCAGCAGUGGGGGAUAUUGCACAAUGGGGGAAACCCUGAUGCAGCGACGCCGCGUGUGGGAAGACGGUCCUCUGGAUUGUAAACCACUGUCCCCAGGGCCGAAGAUGACGGUACCUGGGGAGGAAGCUCCGGCUAACUACGUGCCAGCAGCCGCGGUAAUACGUAGGGAGCGAGCGUUGUCCGGAAUUACUGGGUGUAAAGGGAGCGUAGGCGGGACUGCAAGUUGGGUGUCAAAUCUACCGGCUCAACCGGUAGCCGCACUCAAAACUGCAGUUCUUGAGUGAAGUAGAGGCAGGCGGAAUUCCUAGUGUAGCGGUGAAAUGCGUAGAUAGUAGGAGGAACACCAGUGGCGAAGGCGGCCUGCUGGGCUUUUACUGACGCUGAGGCACGAAGGCCAGGGGAGCGAAAGGGAUUAGAUACCCCUGUAGUC